GACGAACGCUGGCGGCGUGCCUAAUACAUGCAAGUAGAACGCUGAAGGAGGAGCUUGCUUCUCUGGAUGAGUUGCGAACGGGUGAGUAACGCGUAGGUAACCUGCCUGGUAGCGGGGGAUAACUAUUGGAAACGAUAGCUAAUACCGCAUAAGAGUAGAUGUUGCAUGACAUUUACUUAAGAGGUGCAAUUGCAUCACUACCAGAUGGACCUGCGUUGUAUUAGCUAGUUGGUGAGGUAACGGCUCACCAAGGCAACGAUACAUAGCCGACCUGAGAGGGUGAUCGGCCACACUGGGACUGGGACACGGCCCAGACUCCUACGGGAGGCAGCAGGAGGGAAUCUUCGGCAAUGGACGGAAGUCUGACCGAGCAACGCCGCGUGAGUGAAGAAGGUUGUCGGAUCGUAAAGCUCUGUUGUAAGAGAAGAACGAGUGUGAGAGUGGAAAGUUCACACUGUGACGGUAUCUUACCAGAAAGGUACGGCUAACUACGUG
rnacentral:rRNA from 1 species